UCUUGCAUUUUAUCUACAUCAUUCAGAAAGUGAUCGUUCAAACCCCUGUAACUAAUGGUACAUAGAAAACAUACUAUUUCAAUAGCUUUAGUGAUGAAUUUUUUGUAGAUUGGCGAGGGGGAAAAGCUAGUGCGAGCCCUCUUUGGAGUUGCCAGUUGUCGUCAACCAGCUGUGAUUUUUGUUGAUGAAAUUGAUUCACUUCUCUCUCAGCGUAAGUCAGAAGGUGAACAUGAAUCGAGUAGGAGACUGAAAACACACUUUCUCAUUGAGAUGGAAGGCUUUGACAGUGGCAGUGAACAAAUUCUACUCAUAGGAGCAACGAAUCGGCCCCAGGAACUUGAUGAAGCAGCACGGAGGCGACUUACGAAAAUGCUAUAUAUUCCUUUACCUUCUUCAGAAGCAAGAGCAUGGAUCAUACAAAAUCUACUAAAGAAGGAUGGAUUAUUCAAACUUGAAAAGGGAGAUAUUGACACCAUAUGCGAAUUAACAGAAGGUAACUAAUCC